ACGAUGGUGUUAGGCAGACUCGAGAGUCUCGUCACCAGCAAUUUGGCAUUGCCAGAGGUGCGUGUCUUCCUCCUCGUCUUCUUUGUUACUGCUGAUUCAGGGUUCCCCCAGGGGUUGUUUCCAUGACUAUCGUCAUCGACUCAAAUGCGGCCUAGCAGCGUUAAAUUGGAGCGAGAGUUAACAUGCUAGUUCAUUCGGCUUUGCUGCGAGGUUGAACAAAUCCAAAUCUCACAGCCACAGUCAUAAGUAAUUCUCAACUGGAAGAGCUUGGCCCUGCCAUCUCUGCAGCCUAUGUACUGCUAAUUCCGGCCGGCGAUUGUCCUUUGAAUCAGCCAGAAGCUCAGAAUCUUGUCAGUCGUCUCUACUGCUCUGCCAAACUACUAGCAUUGCUGUUUCCGUGAGCCAACCAUAGGCUUUCUGCUAAAUGAUUCUCAGCUACUGAAAGCUGACUCCUGUAUGCCCUUUUGUUAGGACUCUCUAUCUGCGCAUUGGCUAUGUUUAUCUCAGCAUGUCUACAUGAUAGUCAUUGAUCAUUGAGUUUUCUCUAAUAUGAUGAAGUAUUGCUCAGAAGUCACCUACCUCGUGUUUCUUAUUAAGGUUCCCAAGGAAAAAAGUUCGCUGUAAUGAAUGGACAUGAAGACAGGGACGCUCUCAUCUUCCAUUGAGUUUCAACGUCUCUUCAAAAGGACUUCCACCAUGUGUUCCCCCAAGUGCUCAAGUAAUGAAACAUCCAUUUCUCACUUAUGUAGUAAUUAUAAGUAAGAGAAAUGAUAGUUACAGUCGUGAGUGUGCAAGUGCCGUAUAAUUAUUUUGAAAAAAAUAAAUAAAUACAAGACUUAUAUAAAAAGAAAUUAAUUUUUUAAUAGUGGAUCAUAUUAUUUCUUAAAGUUACUGUACGAUAUUUGCGCACUUCACGACUGUAUGUAGCAUUACUCUUGUAGUAUAAUGCCUGUUACUUCCCAACUGGGUAACUCAGGGCAUGAAGGAAAAAGAAAAAAACAAUAGAAAAGAAUGGGCCCAAACUUCUUUCAAUACAAGUCAUUGGCUUGUGUCAGAACAUUAGAUUGAAAUACUAAAAAGAAUACAUACAUAUGACGAAGCAAACAUAGAUUCCUUAACAUUUCGAACAUAUCGAAGCCUAUAGAAAUAUACUUGUUUGAUACAGCCAAGUUAACAAAUUCAGUAAUCAAAGAGAAGGGGGA